rnacentral:rRNA from 1 species
UUUUAUGAGAGUUUGAUCCUGGCUCAGGACGAACGCUGGCGGCGUGCCUAAUACAUGCAAGUCGUACGCUUCUUUUUCCACCGGAGCUUGCUCCACCGGAAAAAGAAGAGUGGCGAACGGGUGAGUAACACGUGGGUAACCUGCCCAUCAGAAGGGGAUAACACUUGGAAACAGGUGCUAAUACCGUAUAACAAUCGAAACCGCAUGGUUUUGAUUUGAAAGGCGCUUUCGGGUGUCGCUGAUGGAUGGACCCGCGGUGCAUUAGCUAGUUGGUGAGGUAACGGCUCACCAAGGCCACGAUGCAUAGCCGACCUGAGAGGGUGAUCGGCCACAUUGGGACUGAGACACGGCCCAAACUCCUACGGGAGGCAGCAGUAGGGAAUCUUCGGCAAUGGACGAAAGUCUGACCGAGCAACGCCGCGUGAGUGAAGAAGGUUUUCGGAUCGUAAAACUCUGUUGUUAGAGAAGAACAAGGAUGAGAGUAACUGUUCAUCCCUUGACGGUAUCUAACCAGAAAGCCACGGCUAACUACGUGCCAGCAGCCGCGGUAAUACGUAGGUGGCAAGCGUUGUCCGGAUUUAUUGGGCGUAAAGCGAGCGCAGGCGGUUUCUUAAGUCUGAUGUGAAAGCCCCCGGCUCAACCGGGGAGGGUCAUUGGAAACUGGGAGACUUGAGUGCAGAAGAGGAGAGUGGAAUUCCAUGUGUAGCGGUGAAAUGCGUAGAUAUAUGGAGGAACACCAGUGGCGAAGGCGGCUCUCUGGUCUGUAACUGACGCUGAGGCUCGAAAGCGUGGGGAGCAAACAGGAUUAGAUACCCUGGUAGUCCACGCCGUAAACGAUGAGUGCUAAGUGUUGGAGGGUUUCCGCCCUUCAGUGCUGCAGCUAACGCAUUAAGCACUCCGCCUGGGGAGUACGACCGCAAGGUUGAAACUCAAAGGAAUUGACGGGGGCCCGCACAAGCGGUGGAGCAUGUGGUUUAAUUCGAAGCAACGCGAAGAACCUUACCAGGUCUUGACAUCCUUUGACCACUCUAGAGAUAGAGCUUCCCCUUCGGGGGCAAAGUGACAGGUGGUGCAUGGUUGUCGUCAGCUCGUGUCGUGAGAUGUUGGGUUAAGUCCCGCAACGAGCGCAACCCUUAUUGUUAGUUGCCA